GGGCUGGAGGGGUGGGGGUGAGGGGCAGGAGUGCUUCAAACACCUUGAAGAUAAGGAAGGAGAAUCAGCAAGUCCCGAGUUCCUACGGUGUGUCCGCAUCGUGCUCCCACUCCCGGGAGAGAGACAUUAUCUUCAGUUUACAAAAGGGGAAAGCAGGUCUGGGGUUUCCAGAGUCCGCGGUUUUGCCAAGAAGCCGCAGUGAUGUUGACGCGGCUGGUCCUCAGUGCACACCUGAGUAGCACGACCUCUCCGCCCUGGACGCACGCUGCCAUCAGCUGGGAGCUGGACAACGUGCUGAUGCCUAGUCCCAGAAUCUGGCCCCAGGUGACUCCAACAGGCAGGUCUGCCUCUGCCAGGAGUGAGGGUAGCACCUCCUCACUCUGGAAUUUCUCAGCUGGGCAGGAUGUGCAUGCCAUAGUAACCAGAACCUGUGAGUCUGUGCUGAGCUCUGCCGUCUACACCCACGGCUGUGGCUAUGUGAGGUCUGCCACAAACAUUACCUGUCAGUCCUCAGGACAACAAAGGCAGGCGGCCCGGCAGGAAGAGGAGAACUCAAUCUGCAAGGCCCAUGAUAGUAGAGAGGGCCGCCUGGGCUACCCCCUCAGUGCCCAUCAGCCUGGUUCCGGUGGUCCUAACUAGCCCUGUCUCCUUGCCAAUAGCCCUGUGCUCCCAAGCCCCCUCCCCCUUGCAGACGGCUGCUAUGACAUCCCUGUUCCUUAAAGUGUGGGGUUCCUCGCUGCCUUCUCCUCCCUAACUGGCACCCUGUGCAAACCUGCUGCAGAGAACAGCGUCUCGGGCAGUGCGAUAGUCCUCCAGUUCACCAACAGUAAAAGUGGUCUCAAUGGGGAGAGCUGUCUGACUGCAAGCGCUGAGUCCUUCCAGGGGAGGG